AUGAAAAACAAAACUAUGGCUUAUAAAAUUUUCUAGUUAAGAAAGCAGAUAUACUAAUAUUUAGAUAUCUACUUACUCUAAUUAUUUUUUCAUUUUUGUAACAACUAAGACUGUGGUCUUUGGCAAAUUAUAAAUGUCAAUAAGAGAAGGAGAUAAAAAAUUGAGAAGGAAAAAAAUUGGUAUAUAACUAUUAAAAGUCAAGGCAUAGCCGGGCACGGUGGCUCACGCCUGUAAUCCCAGCACUUUGGGAGGCCGAGGCAGGCGUAUCACAAGGUCAGGAGUUUGAGAUCAGCCUGGCCAAUAUGGUGAAACUCCAUCUCUACUAAAAGUACAAAAAUCAGCCAGGCAUGGUGGCAGGCGCCUGUAGUCCCAGCUACUCUGGAGGCUGAGGCAGGAGAAUCGCUUGAACCCGGGAGGCCGAGGUUGCAAUGAGCCGAGAUUGUGCCACUGCACUGCAGCCUGGGCAACAGAGCAAGACUUUGUCUAAGAAAAAAAAAAAAGAAAAAAAAAAGUCAAGGCAUAAAAUGUAUGCUUAUAUCUAACUCUGAAAAUAUAUACCAGAAAAUAAAAAUGUUAAUAGAGUUUGCCUCUAAGAGCCUGGGAGUAGGUGAUGGAAGAGAGACUUUGAUUUUUUUGUUUCUUCCUUUUCAACACUUACAUAUGUUAAAGAAAAAUAUAAAUGAGGCUUUAGCUUUGUAGGAAGGUAUUUUGUAGUUAUAUCUUCUAGAUGUGCCCAUCACCUAAUGUCAAGAAUUAUCAACUCACAAUUAAGUUUAUUUCUUCUAUAUUCCCACUCUCUAGCCCCUAGUUGUUUCGAAGCAAAUCACAGACAUAUUUCAUGUAUAAAUAUUUCAGUAUAGAUCUGUAAAUGAUAAAAACUUUCCCUUGUUACACAGCUCUAAUACCAUCAUCACACAUACAAAAAGAAUAAUACAAAAAAGAAUAACCCCUUAAUACCAGUUAUCCAGCAGUGUUCACAUUUAUCCUACUGUCUCUUAGGUGAUGUUCUUCAGUGUCUUCUUUAAUGCCAGCAACAAAUACCUUUUUCACAGUUAGGUGGGCACCUGGUCUUUGAGAACCUUCUCCUGAGACAGCCCUCUUUGGUUCCACAGCUCUCCCAUCCUCUUUGUGUGGCCUUGCAUUCGUGGCUGCAUCCACCUCCUCCACAGUGGCAUAGGUGACGAACCCAAAGCCCCUGGAGCGCUUGGUGUUGGGAUCUCUCAUGACCACACAGCCUGUGAGCAUUCCCCAUUGCUCAGAAUGGCUCCUCAGCCUCUCAGCAGUUGUUUCAAAGCUCAUCCUUCCAGUGAAGAGCUGCCACAGCUGCUUGGCUCUUUAGGAGACUGACUUAGACAUGACGGCAGUGGGAAGAGAGAUUUUAAUGAUGCUUCCUGGUGGCGGCCACGGACAGAAGGAUUUUCUUUUAAAGCCGCUUGUCUGUUUUGUGAGGACUGGUUUUGGAAAGCUGCUAAUAUGAUCUGUGAAGCGACUCACAGGGCACACACAACCUGAGGGGCAUGGCCAAAUUCCAUGCGAAGAAAGCGAAGGGCCCUGUCCCCGCGUGGCACUUGACCGUCUGCCAUCCGACCGAGACUGGAUCAUGUGAGCAGCCAGUGACAAACCACAUAUUAAAUCUUGGUAAAGCUUUAUUUCUUUUUUAGAUAAAGUUAGUAUAAAUGUUCUACCUA